rnacentral:lncRNA from 1 species
AUGAUAUUUAAGUAAGUAGGUGAAAUGAGAUCAUGCAAUUAUCAGACAUCAGAAUCAUAAGACAAAUUUAUAUGAAUGUUUUUGACUUUAAUAUCGACUUUGACUUUUAAUGAAUGUAGAAUUAAAUAAUAUAAAAUAAUACGAGGAGAAAGUUGGAGAAAAUGAUCGGAAUAAGAUUUGAUGAUGUUGGUUGGAAUUUUUAAAACUGUGUUUUCCACUUGAAAGUAAUGCAUAAUUAAGAGACUUUAAUCGAAAAUUUUAAAAGACCACUUGUAAUUUUAAAAAAUCUAAUAUUUCACAUACACACAUAAGUUUCACAUGGAUCCAAAGCUCGAUGCGAGAUCACAGAAUUCGCGACUUCAUUUCCCGACUGCGAGCCGUCUCGAAAGGAGGUCGUGUAGGGUUCACUGAAGACCCUGACUGUUCCAGAGCUCGAGUAUUAAAUAUUGCAGGCGCGGCAAACGAAAGCUACAACUUGACCGCUGCAUUCCGGGAGUUCUUUAGAAUCGCGCGAAUUCACCAGUGCACUCGCGUCAUUUUACACGGAUGUUUAAUUUCCCCUUCACGAUCCAUGAUUAUUUUUUAACCCUCUAUAAUGUCGUCAAUAUUUUUUAAACAAAAGUAAAAAUGAAGAAAGGAGAAACUUACCAUUUAUCUUAAAAAUACAACAACAAUUUCAAACAUUCUACUUAUUCAAGAAUUCCACAACAGACAAUACAUUUUUCUCAAUAGAAAAAAAAAAAUGACAAGAAAAUACUAAAAAAAAAAAGGAAGAAGAAUGUUAUGAAAUAACCAUUCGAUCCAUGUUUAAAAAUCAACAGAAGUGUAAAGAUGUGUAAGAAAUGUCAUAAAGGUUGAACCAACAAGCCUCUUUGGACGGCCAGCGAGUCGAAUUAGCCGCGUGCUUCCCCACCCAUUAAUCCGAAUAGCGAGAAAGAGAGGUUGGCCCUCUCCCUCACCAGAGGGAGGUAACGACGCCAACGACGAUAAAUAAGUACCUGCAGGACUGGCGGAGAGCGGGAGCAUAUCGCCUGCUGUUUCGCGGUCAGAUACUUCAUACACUUCUUCUACUUCUGCAUCGAUGGAUACUUAUUUUUAAAUAUCUAAAAAAAUUUCAUAUUAAAUUUGAUAUCGUUCUUAUAUCGCUCUUGAUCUAUGGAAUCUCUCUUCCCUCUUAUGCUACAUCAAGAAUUACUUGCCAACCCUAUAUUUUCAUGAAGCAUAGAGAGGACAGCUCCUCGGUAGCCUCGCUCCUGCCGAGGCUACUCACAAAGGAACUCUCGCCGUGACGAACCACCUAUAAUUAGACCAGGUAUUCGAGUGAAAAUUAUAGAGGGGAAAAGGACGAAGGGCAAUAGCUAGGGUAACCCAUGCCCGACAAUAUAUGUGUAAGAGCAUCCACAACAAGAAUCGACAAUAGAAAUCGCUUGUACGAUAAAGUAAAAUAGGAAAUCUUAAAAGACACGAGCUCACAAUUAAUUAGCACAUCCAUUGUAGAUGAUGAGAAUAUAUAUUGACAUUUAUACUUAUGUCAAAUAAAGAUCAGAUUAUAAUACUA